rnacentral:rRNA from 1 species
GACGAACGCUGGCGGCGUGCCUAAUACAUGCAAGUCGAGCGCGUGUAGCAAUACACGAGCGGCGGACGGGUGAGUAACGCGUGGGCAACCUGCCCUCUAGCCUGGGAUAACAGCGCGAAAGUGCUGCUAACACCGGAUAUGCUCACUAGGGAGACAUCUCCCGGUGAGGAAAGUUUACACUAGAGGAUGGGCCCGCGUCCCAUUAGCUAGUUGGUGAGGUAACGGCCCACCAAGGCGACGAUGGGUAGCCGACCUGAGAGGGUGAUCGGCCACACUGGGACUGAGACACGGCCCAGACUCCUACGGGAGGCAGCAGUAGGGAAUUUUCCGCAAUGGGCGCAAGCCUGACGGAGCAACGCCGCGUGAGUGAUGAAGGUUUUCGGAUUGUAAAGCUCUGUCUUCCGGGACGAUAAUGACGGUACCGGAGGAGGAAGCCACGGCUAACUACGUGCCAGCAGCCGCGGUAAGAGUCACGUCG